rnacentral:lncRNA from 1 species
GCCCGCCGCCGCCGCCCGGGCCUACCUUGCUGGUGAGGUCCAGCUCUGGCUCGCCGUUGAGCGCCUCGCCGUCCUCGCUGCAGUCCGAGUCAAAGCCGCCGUGGAGUCGGGCGGCGGCCGCCGCGGCCCUGGCCGCCCCCGGGGAGCUGGGCUCGGGGGCGAACAUAGAGGCCGGGACCGGCGAGUCCAUCGCGGAGCGACUGCGCUCCGUCGCCAUCUUUAAUAACUUAGGCUAAUUCGUAGCCGGCUUCCCUCCCUCCCAGGCUCAUUUGACUAAUCUAUGACGUGCUGGCAUGCUCCAGGCAACUUUAAUAGUAGGAUCGAUGCUGUAAGUUCCAAGAGUUGUAAUACUAUAGCAGCCAGAGUGAGGCAAUAAUUAAAUGCUGACCUUAGGGA